rnacentral:lncRNA from 10 species
GCGGGGAUGAGGCUUCAGGAAGGAAUGCCCCGCUCAGGAGCCCCCCCCAGAGCCCCACCGGGAACUCAUCUCUCCGCCUGGUGACGUCACGUUGGCCCGAGCACUGCAGCCCGAGUCCAGCUGUUCAUCUCCCUCACAUUCUGCUGCUCGGCAGGGCUGCCCAGGAGAGGGAGCACCGGCUGUACACUUGCCUGGCGUCUUUGGUCUGCCCCCAGUGGGCAUUUCGGGGCAGGCUGGCCCAGGAGGGGCUAGUCCCCACCCCGUUGUUUUAAUUUACUCAGGGGCUGAUACAGAGCAGUGGGGGGCAGCAGGGCGAGGGCUCCAUGGAGGGGCAGUGCAGAACUGGCAGAGGUGGUCAGCACCGCCCAAGCGGCACCCCUCCCCCUUCCCACCCCGGACUCGGCCUGGGCCCCCUGGGGGCUUAUGGAACCAGGAAUUCCCUUUUCCCCAGCCCUAAUAGCAAUCAGAUGGCGCAAGUGGAAAAUCACGGCGCUCGGCAAGCAAGCUGGAAAUUGGCGGGCUGUGGUGCCUGGUGCCUGCGCUGCUCAGCGGGAGGAUGAGUCAGGUCCCCCUUCCCCAUUGAGCCCCUGGAGGCGGGCGGUGGGGGGGGGUCCUGGAACGCGUUCAUGCCUGGGGCACUGAGCAUUGGUAGGGGUGGGGGUGCAGAGUCGGGGGUGCGGGAGCCAGCAGGGUGGCCAGGAGGAGGGGGUGAUGAGAAGGCUCCCCUCCUACCCUGGGCCAACUUUCUCAGGGUCCAGGAAGCCCGAGGGAAUUCUGAACUUUCCCUGCAGGAGUGUAGUGCCCAGACUGGGAGAGAUGUGCCUCUGUGGGCAUCUUGAAGGGAAAUGAGAAGCGGAGCUGCCCCUGCACCUGCGCUGGGAGCUGCCUGCCUCCUGCUUGUCCUGGCCAUGUGCGAACCUCAGCGUGGAAGAGGGACUCUCGCACUGCUCCCUGCGCGGCUCAGCUGGCCUCCUGGGAAGCCACAAGAAACUAAUCCAUGGGGAUGGCCAGGCCUGAUUAGCUGGGGUGGGGCUGGAGGCUCCUCUACAGAGAUGAUGCUUACACUGAGACCUGAAGGAGAAGGAGGAGGUGGCUGCUCACGCAACCCACAGGAAAGUGUUCCAGGAUCAAGAACAGCAGGUGCAAAGGCCCCGUGAUGGAAAGGAUUGGUGCACUAGGAGAACAAAGGCAGCCUGGACACCAGGUUUGGUCUACCUCGUCCACACCCGCCUGCUUCUGUCCCGCCUUAAGCGGAUCCGUGAUGUCCCGUCAUUAGACCUUCAAUUUCAGCACAGGACUGAAUAACUAACCUUCAAAAAGUUUGCAGUAGCCUUGUCACUCCUAAAAAUAACAAAUAAUUCCUUAAACAUCAUUCAACAUCCAAUCAGUGUUUGCACACUUUUUUUACAGCUCUGCAUGUGUGUCACAAGCUAAACAAGGCCCGUGAGUGGAUGUGCUUCUUUUUGGGGUUGGGGAGAGACGGUGUCUCACUCUGUUGCCCAGGCUGGAUUGCAGUGGCAAGAUCUUGGCUCAUUGUGUCUCCCGGGUUCAAGCGAUUCUUCUGCCUCAGACUCUUGAGUAGCUGGGACUACAGGCAGUGCCACCACGCCUGGCUAAUAUUUGUAUUUUUAGUGGAGACGGGGUUUCACCAUGUUGGUGAGGCUGGUCUCAAACUCUUGACCUCAUGUGAUCCCCCGACCUCGGCCUCUCAAAGUGCUGGGAUUACAGGUGUGAGACACCGUGCCCUGCCUGAUGUGCUCCUUUUAAUGACAGGUUCCCCGCAGCAUCUCCCUGUCCCUCUUCC